CGAGCAGGCCGGCUUAUCGCUCUUUGCGGAUGCAGGGGGAGGAAAGUCCGGACACCACAGUGCAGCAUAGCGGGUAACACCCGUCCCCCGACGGGCCCUGCCCGGUCGGGGAGGACCAGUGCAACAGAAAGUAUGUACAGUUCGGCUGUAGUGAAAUCAUGUAAACUCUAUGCGGUGAAACGCCAUGUAGUCCAGCGACCGAGGGCGGCACGUCCGAGCUGGCGGGUAGGCGGAUCGAACCCGGGGGCAACCCCGGGUCCAGAUAAAUGAUAAGCGCCCCGGGCAACCGGGGAGACAGAAUCCGGCUUACAGGCCUGCUUUUUUA
rnacentral:RNase_P_RNA from 2 species